rnacentral:tRNA from 1 species
GGCGGCGAGCAGCACGGUAGCUCGUCGGGCUCAUAACCCGAAGGUCGCAGGUUCAAAUCCUGUCCCCGCAACCA